AAAUUGAAGAGUUUGAUCAUGGCUCAGAUUGAACGCUGGCGGCAGGCCUAACACAUGCAAGUCGAACGGUAACAGGAAGCAGCUUGCUGCUUUGCUGACGAGUGGCGGACGGGUGAGUAAUGUCUGGGAAACUGCCUGAUGGAGGGGGAUAACUACUGGAAACGGUGGCUAAUACCGCAUAACGUCGCAAGACCAAAGAGGGGGACCUUCGGGCCUCUUGCCAUCAGAUGUGCCCAGAUGGGAUUAGCUUGUUGGUGAGGUAACGGCUCACCAAGGCGACGAUCCCUAGCUGGUCUGAGAGGAUGACCAGCCACACUGGAACUGAGACACGGUCCAGACUCCUACGGGAGGCAGCAGUGGGGAAUAUUGCACAAUGGGCGCAAGCCUGAUGCAGCCAUGCCGCGUGUAUGAAGAAGGCCUUCGGUUGUAAAGUACUUUCAGCGGGAGGAAGGUGUUGUGGUUAAUAACCGCAGCAAUUGACGUUACCCGCAGAAGAAGCACCGGCUAACUCCGUGCCAGCAGCCGCGGUAAUACGGAGGGUGCAAGCGUUAAUCGGAAUUACUGGGCGUAAAGCGCACGCAGGCGGUCUGUCAAGUCGGAUGUGAAAUCCCCGGGCUCAACCUGGGAACUGCAUUCGAAACUGGCAGGCUUUGUAGAGGUAGAAUUCGUAGCGGUGAAAUGCGUAGAGAUCUGGAGGAAUACCGGUGGCGAAGGCGGCCCUGACAAAGACUGACGCUCAGGUGCGAAAGCGUGGAGCAAACAGGAUUAGAUACCCGGUAGUCCACGCCGUAAACGAUGUCUACUUGGAGGUUGUGCCCUUGAGGCGUUUCCGGAGCUAACGCGUUAGACCGCCCGAGUACGGCCGCAAGGUUAAAACUCAAAUGAAUUGACGGGGGCCCGCACAAGCGGUGGAGCAUGUGGUUUAAUUCGAUGCAACGCGAAGAACCUUACCUGGUCUUGACAUCCACAGAACUUUCCAGAGAUGGACUGGUGCCUUCGGGAACUGUGAGACAGGUGCUGCAUGGCUGUCGUCAGCUCGUGUUGUGAAAUGUUGGGUUAAGUCCCGCAACGAGCGCAACCCUUAUCCUUUGUUGCCAGCGAUUAGGUCGGGAACUCAAAGGAGACUGCCAGUGAUAAACUGGAGGAAGGUGGGGAUGACGUCAAGUCAUCAUGGCCCUUACGACCAGGGCUACACACGUGCUACAAUGGCGCAUACAAAGAGAAGCGACCUCGCGAGAGCAAGCGGACCUCAUAAAGUGCGUCGUAGUCCGGAUUGGAGUCUGCAACUCGACUCCAUGAAGUCGGAAUCGCUAGUAAUCGUGGAUCAGAAUGCCACGGUGAAUACGUUCCCGGGCCUUGUACACACCGCCCGUCACACCAUGGGAGUGGGUUACAAAAGAAGUAGGUAGCUUAACCUUCGGGAGGGCGCUUACCACUUUGUGAUUCAUGACUGGGGUGAAGUCGUAACAAGGUAACCGUAGGGGAACCUGCGGUUGGAUCACCUCCUUACCUUAAAGAA
rnacentral:rRNA from 1 species